UACGAAGGGGCUAGCGUUGUUCGGAAUUACUGGGCGUAAAGCGCACGUAGGCGGGCUAUUAAGUCAGGGGUGAAUCCCGGAGCUCAACUCCGGAACUGCCUUUGAUACUGGUAGUCUAGAGAUCGGAAGAGGUUAGUGGAAUUCCCAGUGUAGAGGUGAAAUUCGUAGAUAUUGGGAAGAACACCAGUGGCGAAGGCGGCUAACUGGUCCGAUACUGACGCUGAGGUGCGAAAGCGUGGGAGCAACAGG
rnacentral:rRNA from 1 species